AAAUGGAUUACUUUGCAAAAACCUGUGUCUCUCAUCUCAUGAUGCAUGGCUUUUUCGAUUGGUUUGCAAAGAGGUCAAGGAUUUUACACAGAGCUUUCAACAAUGUGCAGAAAAAAGUGACAAAUCAGACUAUGAUUUUCAAGUUAGAGGAUAUUAAUACAUGUGGAAUGGACCCAACAUCUCUGCAAGAUAAAUCAGGUUACGUCCCAAUUAUAAAAACUAUUUAAGUUAAAUAAAAUCAUACAAGUUUUACAAUAUAGUAUGUUGCUACGAAAAAAAAAAAUCUCAUAGUGGUAACAUUACAAAUGUGAAGAAAAGUAAAACCUUACAAACAGUUCUAAAAAAAUGUUCUGAAAACAAAAAGCAAUGGUUGUUCAAUGUUCAUCCAAGAUACAAAUCAACUUCCCACCACAAAAAUGAAACGAAUCGAAGGACAGAGCUGUUUGAAAUUGCAUGAGGUGGAUAGCUAGGUGUUUGAGGAGCAGGAGGUGGAGAAUGUAUUCGAAAUAGCAUUUCAAGACUGUUUAAUGGAGAAAUUUUGAUUUCUUAUGGUAUUGUUCGGUUAUUAUCUUCAAGUUCAUAUCCAUGUGGCGAGAAUUAGACUAACUCUUAACAAGAAAUCUUUCACAUUAGACUAGGCCACAAAUCUUUCACAUUAGAUAUGCUUUCCUAGGUUAAUUAAUCUACAUUGUAUAGACAAUAUAUAAUGAAAAUAUUUACUUUCUUACU